rnacentral:lncRNA from 1 species
CUUCUUAAAGCCAUUGAAUUCUUAGAGAAUGCCCGGAAGUAAGGAUUCAAGAGUUUGUAAAUACCAAAGCUCUAGUUUAUUAAUCAAUAAUUCAAAAGUUGUGACUCUUACAAAUCAAGAGCUCACUAUUUAUACUAAUAAGAAAAUACCUAAGUCCUUAAGGAUUAGGAUCUAACCUUCUAUCCUAAAGUAUUUAAUCAUUAUCUUUAAGAAUAAUAAUGUUUAUCUAGAACAAGAAUAAAAAGGAAACUAUAAAACUAAAACCUAGGGGUGUUCAAUCCGGAUAUCGGUUCGGUUUCGGUUUGGUUAUUUUCGGUUAUCGGUAUUUCGGUUAGUAAAAUAUAACUACCAUUCUAAAUCCAUAUUUACUUCGGUUCGGUUCGGUUUAUAUACUGUCGGUUUUCGGUUUAUUCGGUUUUAUACCAAAAAACAUAAUUAUUUUGUUUGAGAUCAUAUUAUAUGAAUUUUAGAGUCAUAUUGUGAACACCGUCAUUUAUUAAAAAUAUAUUACAUGUUCAAAUAAAUGAACAAAAAAAUAAAAAUGCUUCUACCAUCAAAUAAAAUAAUCAAAUCUAUAACUAAAAUCAAAGCUUGAAAUUUUGAAAAAAAAAAUGAAACAAAACAAAAACAUAAAAGAAAAGUUUUUCCACUCUUCCAUAUUUAGUAUUCAUUAAAGUCAUGCUUUUUCAAUUAAAAAUUUUCCAUUAAUUAUUGUCCAUCAAAUUUAUAAUCUUCAUAUUAAUUUAGUGAAGACUAAAAUAAAGUAAAAAGAAAAAAAAAAGACUUAGAAAAUAAGAUGUCUGAAUUGCGAUGUAUUGUUAUUUAGUUAUAGUUCAAGUGUUCUACAAAUUAAGGUUUUUUAUUACUAUAAAAUUAUGGUAAUAGUUAUUAACACAAAUUUAACUUAUGUAACAAAUAGAUUAUCAUGUAUUGUUAUAAAAUAGAUACAUAUUUACAUGUUUCUACUUUUAAUCGGUUUUGUUCGGUUUAUUCGGUUUAAUCGGUUAUAUACCAAACCAUAUCCAAAUC